AUGGGGAACCCGCCGGAGCUGUACUACCAGCUGCUCAACAUCACCAGGGACACGCCCCCGCAGGAGAUCAGGGCGGCCUACCGGUGCCUGGUGCGCCAGUGGCACCCCGACAAGCACCCGCCGUCCUCCAAGUCCGAGGCCGAGGACCGGUUCAAGGCCAUCACCCAGGCGUACGAGGCUCUCCUGGACCAGCAGGAGAACAGGGCGGUGCUCCGGGCGCGCAACGCCGACGAGGGCAGGAGGAGCUGCGCUAGGCCCGAGGAACGCGUUGGCGGCGGCGCGGCGGCAAUGGCGCGGGCUCCCGAGAGGGCGGCAAGGACGACCGCCCCAACGCCGCCGGCGCGGGAGUCCCAGAAGGUGUACAGCUCCACGGACAUCGGCGGUGGCGGGCGGCGCGCGUUCGCCGAGUUCUCCAGCUACGUGGUGCGCAAGGCGCCGCCGCUGGAGCGCAAGGUGGAGUGCACCCUAGAGGAGCUCUGCGCCGGGUGCAAGAAGGAGGUCAAGUACACCCGCGACGUUGUCACCAAGAACGGGCUGAUCGCCAAGAAGGAGGUGACGCAGAUCAUCCGGGUGAAGCCCGGGUGGAAGAAGGGGACCAAGGUGACGGUCGAGGGCAUGGGCAACGAGCGCCCCGGCUGCCUCCCCGGCGACGCCGUCUUCACCGUGUCGGCCAGGACGCACAAGGCGUUCAAGCGGCAGGGCGACGACCUAGUGCUCAAGGCGGAGGUGCCGCUGGUGAGCGCGCUCACCGGCUGGUCCUUCUCGUUCCGCCUGCUCGGCGGCGAGAAGGUCAGCUGGUCGUUCCGCGACGAGGUCAUCCGCCCCGGGUACGAGAAGGUGGUGAGGGGCGAGGGCAUGCCCGUCGUCGGCGGCAAGAAGGGCGCGCGCGGGGACCUGCGGGUCAAGUUCGACGUGGUGUUCCCCGAUAACCUCACCGGCGAGCAGCGGAGGGGCCUCGUCGAGAUCCUGAGGGGCUGCCCCUGA
rnacentral:rRNA from 1 species